ensembl:lncRNA
GCCUAAGCUAUUUCAGUGUCUGUUCAGCUGGUACACAACCCGUGGAUCGGAAGGCAGGGGCGUGUUUGUCUGUGGUUGGGGGCUGAGGCUGGGGUUGUGCCUCAGCGGUGAAGCUGGGCGUUGCAGGGCAGCACAGCUUGGUUAUGGAACUGCUUCUCCAUGCAGAGAAGGUAUGUGUGUAAUGGGAGCCAGGCCCACAUCGCUGGGGCUCCUGUGAGGUGUUCCCCAGGGCUGAUUCGUUCACUGAGUGCUUUACUCAGUCAGAUCGCUUCUGUCUGUGACAGCUGUCUGUGUUUACCCCCCCUACACUCCCCUCCAGCAUCGAUGGGGAAGGCUGUGAGGAAAAGUGCUACAAAAGCCAACAAACUGGGUAAGUUUAGAAUUCCCUAGCCACGCAUCCGUGCUGAUAGCCGCUCAUGAGCAGAUGUUGAAAGGCAGCAGUGGGCGACUGUGGGUUCCUGUGGGCCGUGCCUGAGGCGGGCAGCCCGCACAGAUCGGCGGGGCCGGGCCCUCCCUGAGCUCCUCUGCACCUGCGUUGGGGAGGGGUGAGUGCUGUAAGCGCAGGUGAAGCCAAUGAGGCGUUCCCGCCCUGUGUCGAGGAGAGCCCUGGCCUGAAAUGGCGGGCGGGCAGCGCGGGGUGAGUGUGGAGGAGCGCUGCGGGGGGAGCUGAGAGAGGAACCCCACGGAAUUGCGCUGUGGAGGUGAGCGCCGGGAAGGCUGGGAGGCGGCCCACAGAACAGAGGCCGGCGGGACGGGCCGUGCGGCUGGGGCGGAGCGGGGUUCGGCGUGCCCGGCGCCUAUAGCAACAGCUGCCUCAAACACCGCCGGAGCGUCCCCGAGCAGGUCACGAUGUCCCAGCACGAGGAUCACCCCAAGCGACGCCAUCUGCUCCUGCUCUCUGAGCUCCCUCGGUCCUCUCUGGGACGUGAGGGCCCGGGACGAGCUCGUGGGGCUCCCCUGGGUGAUGUCCUCACGCCCCGCGAGAGGGCGCUGCUCCGUGUCCCAGCUGCCAGCCGGCCAGCAGAGCGGGGAGAGCCUAGCCCACCACGGGGGGACCCACGGGCACCGGAGCUGCUGGAGGCUCAUCAGCGCCAUGUGGCUGAAAUCCAGGCCAGGACCCAACAGCUAGAGCAGCAGAGAGAGCAGCUGUGCCGGCGCCUGGCAUUGCUGCGCAACAAGCAUCUGUCACCAGAAAUGAGCUGGGCUGCGGAGGUGCAGUCAGACAGAGAUGGGCACCAGUACCGAGGGGCUGCCCUCCACUUCAACGCUCUCCUGCCACCCUCCGGGCCACUGGCGGCUGAGGCCAGGGCGCUGCAGCUCUCCUACCUGCGUGCUGGUGGCUGCGACGAGGCCACCCUGGCACAGCUGCUAGAUCUCCAACUGGAGGCCACGGCGCUGGAGAAAAGGGCUGUGCAGAAGAUGAGUAAGCACCAGCCCCAUCACAGAGCCCAGGGACAGGACCCCAUUGCUGUUGAGACAGCACAGGGCCUCGAUGCAGCACUGAUGGCUGUGGAGCUGGAGAACCAGCGGCUCGAGGAUGAGCUCCUGGCAUUGAAGGUUCGGAGGGAGAUGCGAGCUGAUGUCGGAUCACUGGCAGCCCGGCAGCAUGCAGAGGAGCUGGCUCAGCUGCAGGCAAAGGUGGAGUUGCUGCUGCGACGCCAGGCAGAAGGGGUGGGGCCGCGCCUGCCCCCUGCCGUCCUCCCACCGCCCGUGGCCCCUGUGCUCCCCCCAGCCUUAGCUCUGGCGGAGCCACUGAGGCCAACCCUGAGGGCAGGCAGCCCCACAGCCUCCAGGCGCCCACUUGCACCCUCUAGCCUCCCCAGCAUCCCCUUUGGAGCCCUGGAUGACCCCCCUCCUACUCAGAAGGUACCAGCUCAGCACAAAAGCCCUGAGAGACACUUCUCACGGUACAUUUAG